AUGAGACGACUGGUCUACCUCUCGGGCCGGAGGCGUUCUGACCUAAUUUCCGGUAGCUUCUUUCGUGGCGCCGCCCGAAGUCGGCCGAUUCCAGCUGGGCAUGUUUUUCAGAUCUUAUCAUGAAGUGAAAACUCCAGUUUCUGACUUUGAAUUCAGAAGAUCACCAACUACAUCCCUAUUCAGAUAUUUAGUGCUGAGACAUUUCUGCUGGAGAAAUGUCUUCAGAGGCGGAAAAGGAUAAAGAGAGGCUGGUUCAAGCUGCCAAAACAUUCUUCUUUCACAUGCAAGAUCUCGCUUCCUUCACAAAUACACUCACCAAAUUGUUUAACAGCAGUAUGAACACCCAGAUCUCCUUGAUGACUGUGAGAGACGAUGGUAACGUUAAGGAUGUCUUUGAACAGAUGCUCAGAAUUUUUAAGGAAAUGCAGUCUGCAGUGGAGGCAAAGCACAACAAAAUGCAGAGUGAUCCUUUGAGUUCCAAGAUCGCAGCAGCCAUGUGCUCUGUGGCUGAGAAGAGUAGCAGUGUAAAGGAGCUGCAGCAGUCCGCUAAAGAGAUGUUCCACAAUACCCACAUACCAGCCCUUGUCUCUGUGCUGAAUAGUAGUAACGUCCUUGAGAGUUUGGAGUCCUCUCUUUCACUCUUAAUGAAAUAUCCUAUCAUGAAUCUUCAAUUAAGUGACUUCUAUAGAAAAGACACCAAAGAGCAAUCAGAUGCCACCGCAUCUGAGAAAAGCCCAAGUCCAGGUCCAUCCAAAGCCACUACAAUAGAUGCCUUGAACAAGUUGCAGGAUGCACUGAACACUGAGAAUGCCAAGAACACAAUUAAGUCAGCCGCAGAUCAGUUGGAGCAAGUUGUCAAAACUAUGGGACCAAUCUUAGAGACCCUCCAAAAAGCCAUAAAAACUAUGGAAGCCAAGUUUUCUGUGUUUAAGAAAGCCAGUGAUUAGUAGGAGGGAGACAGAAGUGCUCACUUUGUCAGAAAACCAAUUCAAAUCCUGUGAGUUUUCAUAAUACAUUCUAAGACCUUGGAUGCCGGACAUGUGGUCUGUUGGGGCAUGAGUUCAAAGAGUAGUCACCUGGCAAACCAUUUACCUCAAGUUUUGCUUUAUUCAAAUAAAAAUGAACAAAGAAAUCCUGCUUGAAAUGGCAGUUACUGAAAAGAAUAUAUUAUUCAAAACAAUCAAGUUUGGUUUAUGUAAAAAAGAGGUUGUUUCUAAACAUAUUUCAUCUUCAAGAUAAUUAAAAUAGCCCUCAACUAAUUUCCACUCUUCAUAAUCCUAUUUCUAGUUCCUACAGUGCAAAGUCCAGGUAAAUGUACCCAUUAUCAUUAAAUAAUCUGGCAGAAACUACCGUUCAGUCCUAGGAAGCGUAAACUUCCAUAUUUUUAUCACUCAUGUACCAAUUUUUAUAUACUUUAGUGCCUUGCCCAUCAUGAGCCAUCACUAAAUACUUUUAAUAUGAUUUAUCUAAAAGUAAAUAAGAACAGUGAGUGAGGAGUAAUAGACUUGUCUUGUUUGUGUGAAUAGGACGAGAGCAGAUGAGUUAUUCUUGUUUGUCUCCUACUGAGAUCUUAUAAUUAGGAGAUAUUGGAGGCUGGAAAAUGAAGGUGCUCUAUCUAACCUUUCACAAAGAAGAUAGCAUAACACUUGUUACUUGACCAUAAAAGAAGUAAGAUUUCUGAGCUGUGCUUGUAUUAGGGAUGAAAAGUUAGACAAAUCCAUUUGCCUACCUUAACAUCUUGGGCUCCCAUGGAUUGCAAAUGAGUGUAUGCUCUCAAGAUUGCCCUAUGUCACAUGAUACCCAGUAGGGACUUUGUUAAGAACAAGAAAAGC